GCGGAUGUAGCCAACGUGGAUCAAGGCAGUG
rnacentral:tRNA from 1 species